GCUGUCCGGCUCUUCCUGCCGCGCUCUGGCCACUCCCCCUCCCCCCUCGCUCGGCCUGGCCUUGGCGGCGGUGCUCUGCAGGCAGUGCCUCCCUCGGGCGUGGGUCUGCAGGAGAGCCGGACAGAGCAGCGGCCGGCACUACCACGCCGCGAUUUGCGCAGAGCUGAAGAAGCCCCUGACCAUUGAAGAGGUGGCCCCCGCCCCGUCAGGCCUCACGAGGUCAGAGUUGAUGUCCAUUUCUGUGGAGUUAACUUUGGUGAUAUUGUGAUCUGCCGUGGUCAAUAUCAGGAAAGGCCCCAUCUUCCCUUCACACCUGCCUGGCAUGGGAGGGCAGGAUUGUGGUGGUGGGAUUUGCUGGAGGAAACAUUGCAUCUGUACCAGCCAACCUUCUGCUCCUGAAGAAUAUCUCUGCUGUGGGCCUGUACUGUGGUCAAUACAAAGAAAUGAACUUUCCCGUCUUCUCCAAGAGCCUGUCUUCAGUGCUUCAGUACUGCCAGCAAGGGUGCAUCCAGCCAUAUGUCGGAAUGGUUUUCAAGCUGGAUGAGGUCAAUGAUGCCUUCCUUCAUGUGAUACAGGGGAAAUCCGUGGGCAAGGUGCUUCUCGCUCUUAAAUAAAUCCUUGCCUGAGCAGCAAAGUUAACAUGUCCAGAUCAAAACUCCACAUCUUUCCCCAAAACCCGAUUUCCCUUCUGUGUUUCCAAAGGUGUUACCACUUUCCUUACUAAUCCAGGUUUAAAAUCUUGGAGUCACCUUUGAUUCUGUUUACUAAUUGCUCCUAAUUAAUGUGAUUAUAUAGUUUAUUGUCCAAACCUUUUCGAGAGUAAAAGAGUGCCAUUAGUAAUUACAUCAGGAAAACAUAUCCCAGGCAAACCAGGAUAUAUGGUCAGCCUACUUGAUGCAUUAUGAAAUGCAGUGAUUGCCGAGUUCUGUCAUUCCCCCCCCUAAGAUAUCUCUCAUGUCCAUAUCCUCUUUUCCAUUCUGACUAAUUAAGCCUCAACUGCUAUCACCAGUAACCUUCUAACUGCUUUUCCUACCUUUAAACUACUCUCAUCCCCUCCAUCCUUGUGAUGCGUUAUUGCCAUGGUGAUUGUCCCGAAGCAUAGCUCUGACGAUGGCCCAUCUCAGAAAACCUACAAUGGCUCACCAUUGCCUGAUGGUGGAGUUCAGACCCCUUGAGCUAGCAUUUCAUUAUGACCGUGAUUUUUCCCCGCACCACUUUCCAGCCUUGUGGUCCACAAUUCCAUGGGGCCUUAAGUAUGUACUGAACUUUCCUGCCUCCCUCAUUUUGCUCUGCUUGUGCAAUUUUUUCCACCCUCCAUCUCUGUCAAACGUAAGCCUUCCUGACCUCUAAGACCUAACUAUGUCAUGUACCUUUACUCUCAGGCAAGGAGCAAUCUCUUCUCUUCCUCUUCUACCUUGCUGUAGCUUCUCCCCCAGGAUUUAUCACAUUCUGCCUUGAAUCAUAGGGAACAGCAUGUGUAGUGGAAUGAACACAGGCCUCUGAAUCCAAGAUAUGAGUUUAAAUCCCAGCUUUGGAGGUGGUUACUUAAGGUCUCAGUGCCUUCAUUCUUCUUCCUAUAUAAAGUAGAUGUUACAAUAUCUAACUUACAGAGUCAUUGGGAGCUAUACCUGCAGCGAUUGGGUAAAGCACCUGGCACAUGGCAAGCGAUUAGCAAAUGCUGGUUACUUCUACUUCUUUCUCUUCCCUUUUCCCAGUCUAUCAUAAGUUCCUUCAGAGCAGGCACCAUGUCUGAUUUGCCUUUGUAUUUCCCACAGUACUUCCCAUAGUGAGUUAUGCUUAGUAAAUACUCAGUAAGUUGAACUGAAUUUAAAUUACCUGUAAGUCUUAAAAUGUGGGAUUAAAUUAAGAAUAUGUUGCCCUGGAAAUACCCAAAUGUCUAUCGAUGGAUGAAUAGAUAAACAAAAUGUGGUAUACACAUAAUGGAAUAUUACUCAGCCUUAAAAACGAAUGAUAUUCUGACAUGGGCUACAAUACGAUGAACCUGGAAGACAUUAUAUGUGACAUAAGCCAGACAGAAAAGGACAAAUACUAUAUGAUUCCACCUGUGUGAAGUACCUAGAGUAGUGAAAUUCAUAGAAACAGAAAGUACAGGUUGACAUCCAAAAUCUGAAAUGGGAAAUGCUCCAAAAUCUGAAACUUUUUGAAUGCUGACACGAUGCUCAAAGAAAAUGCUAAUUGGAGCGUUUCGGAUUUUGGAUUUUUGGAUUCGGGAUGCUCAGCUGGCAUAAUUGAAUAUUCCAAACUCUGAAAAAAUCUGAAGUCUAAAACACUUCUGGUCUCAAGAAUUUUGGAUAAAGGAUACUCAAUGUGCAACAUGUAGAAUGGUGGUUGCAAGGUGGGAGGAGAGAAUGGAGAGUUACUGUUUAAUGGUACAGUGUUUCCGUUUGGGAAGAUGGAAAGUUUUGGAGGUGUGUGAUGGUUAUGGAUGUGCAACAAUGGGAAGGUACUUAGUACUGCUUA